rnacentral:rRNA from 1 species
UCAAGCUACUAAGGGCGUGUGGGGGAUGUCUUGGCGCCAGGAGGCGAUGAAGGGCGUGGAAGACUGCGAUAAGCCCGGGGGAGCUGUCAAACGAGCGUUGAUCCCGGGAUUCCCGAAUGAGCGUGCGCUGAAUCCAUAGGCGUACGUGGCGAACGGAGGGAACUGAAACAUCUCAGUACCUCCAGGAAAGGAAAGCAACAGCGACUCCCUCAGUAGCGGCGAGCGAAAGCGGACCUAGCCCAAACCGGUGGGACUUGUCCUGCCGGGGUUGUAGGACCGGGCUGCCUUCAAUGGCGAGAAGUUACCAAAGUUUUUCUUAGCAGAACACUUCUGGAAAGGGUGACCACAGAGGGUGAUAGUCCCGUACGCGAAAGGAAAGACUCUUCUGCCCGGCACCUGAGUAGGGCCCAUCACGUGAAAGUGGGUCUGAAUCUGCGAGGCCCAUCUCGCAAGGCUAAGUACUCCCUGGCGACCGAUAGUGAACCAAGUAGGGCGACUGAAAGAUGAAAAGAACCCCGAUAAGGGGAGGGAAAUGAACCUGAAACCACAUGCCUACAAGCGGUCGGAGCCCAUCUGGAGCAGCUUCUCACUGCGCUCUUUCGGCAAGAAAGGGUGGAGUGAGAAGCUGUUCGAGGGGUGACGGCGUGCCUUUUGCAUAAUGAUCCGGCGACUUACGGUCGACAGCAAGGUUAAGCGGUUCUGCCGCGGAGCCGAAGCGAAAGCGAGUCUGAAAUGGGCGUCAAGUUGUCGGCCGUAGACGCGAAACCACGUGAUCUACCCAUGGGCAGGAUGAAGUGAGGGUAAUACCUCAUGGAGGUCCGAACCCACCAGUGUUGAAAAACUGGGGGAUGACCUGUGGGGAGGAGUAAAAGUCUAAUCAAACGUGGAGAUAGCUCGUUCUCUCCGAAAUAACUUUAGGGUUAGCGUUUUGGUAGUUGGCAACGGGGGUAGAGCGACUGAAUUCGACAGGGGGCCCACCAGGCUACCCUCCGAAACCAAACUCCGAAUACCGUUGUACCAAGCCAAGGCAGCUAGACGGCGAGGGAUAAGCUUCGUCGUCGAGAGGGGAACAACCCAGACCGCCCGCUAAGGUCCCCAAGCCAUGCUGAGUGCGAAAGGAAGUUGGAUUCCUGAGACAGCCAGGAUGUUGGCUUAGAAGCAGCCACCAUUUAAAAAGUGCGUAAUAGCUUACUGGUCGAGGAAUCCUGCGCCGAUAAUGAACGGGACUAAGUAUGGCACCGAAGCGGCGGGUGUCUUCGGACGCGGUAGGAGAGCGUUGCACGAUAGGGUGAAGGUGGACGGACGACGACCACUGGACGAAGUGCAAGUGAUAAUGCCGGAACGAGUAACGAUAAAACGGGUGAGAAUCCCGUUCGCCGUAAGCCUAAGGUUUCCUGGGGAAGGCAAAUCCGCCCAGGGUUAGUCGGACCCUAAGACGAGGCCGAAAGGCGUAGUCGAUGGACAGCAGGUUAAUAUUCCUGCACCAACCGUGGCGGUUGAAGGCGUAGUGCGCUGUGUGGAAGGGGAGCGCCCAGCUAGUGCGGCGUCCCGCAAGGGCGAGGGCAUUUACGAUCCCAAAGUCCUCGGAAGCACAGCCAAGAAAAGCUACUGCCGGACAAAACGGUUGCCCGUACUAAAACUGACACAGGUAGGCGAGAUGAAUAUUCUAAGGCGCUCGAGAGAACGCUCGUGAAGGAACUCGGCAAAUUAACCCCGUAACUUCGGGAUAAGGGGUGCCUCCUGGGGUGAAUAGCUCCGGGGGGCCGCAGUGAAAGGGGUCUGGCGACUGUUUACUAAAAACACAGGACUCUGCGAACUCGUAAGAGGAUGUAUAGAGUCUGACGCCUGCCCGGUGCCGGUAAGUUAAGGAAGAGGGUUAGCCGCAAGGCGAAGCUCGCAACCGAAGCUCCGGUAAACGGCGGCCGUAACUAUGACGGUCCUAAGGUAGAUGUGCUGCCUGCUCACAGGGCAACCUGUGAGGCAAUUCUUGGCUAUAUGCGGGAAACCCCUGAAGCCUUUUCUACGUUUUCGAUGGCGCUUUUACGCAAUCGACGUAAAAAUGAAAAGGAUUGGGCAAUCCGCAGGAAACCCUUCGUGGGGAUCCUCAGAGGCCAUACGCCAAGUAUCCGUAAACGAGCAAGAACGUGGAACUCGAUCCUCAAUGGGUGGUCGGAUUCGUUGACGGCGAAGGUUGUUUUCACGUCAACAUCCAAAAACACCCGGAAAUGUCGGCUGGAUUCCAGGUCGUACCCGAAUUCGUCGUCGUGCAACCCGAACGCGACUUGCAAAUCCUUUAUGCCUUAAAGCGUUUCUUUGGAUUUGGUGUCGUGCGUCGAUGUCACACCGACAGAUAUGCACUGCGAAUUCGGAAACUGAAAGGUCUCGAGCAUGUUUGCGACUUCUUUCUCAAGCAUUCCUUGAAGACCAGAAAACACAGCGACUUUCAAAAGUUCCGAAAAAUCGUUCUGCUCAUGCUCCAACAAAAGCAUCUUGAUCGGGAAGGAGUGUUGCGCAUCGUCGAUAUUGCCAUGCAAAUGAAGACGACGAAGGACUCAGCCCUCCAGAAGAUCAAGGCCGAAUUGGAGAGCGGAUAAAGAGAUGGUCCACGCCUGCUGGAAACAGCAGGGUUCGCGUGAGCGAAGUUCCUUGUCGGGUAAGUUCCGACCUGCAUGAAAGGCGUAACGACCGGACCACUGUCUCCACGAGCGACUCGGUGAAACUGUAGUUGUUGUGAAGAUGCAACAUACCCGCAGCUAGACGGAAAGACCCCGUGAACCUUUACUGCAGCUUAGUAUUGGGUUUAGGCCCAGCAUGCGUAGUGUAGGUGGGAGGCUAUGAACUGGGUACUCCGGUACUCAGGGAGCCGCAAGAUGAAACACCACCCUUGUUGUGCUUGAAUUCUAACCCCGUCCCGUGAAUCCGGGCGGAGGACAGUGCUAAGUGGGCAGUUUGACUGGGGCGGUCUCCUCCAAAAAAGUAACGGAGGAGCCCAAAGGUACCCUCAGCCUGGUUGGCAAUCAGGCAAAGAGCGCAAAGGUACAAGGGUGCUUGACUGCGAGACCCAUAAGUCGAGCAGAGACGAAAGUCGGGCUUAGUGAUCCGGCGGUGCUGGAUGGAAAGGCCGUCGCUCAACAGAUAAAAGGUACUCCGGGGAUAACAGGCUUAUCUCCUCUGAGCGUUCACAGCGGCGAGGAGGUUUGGCACCUCGAUGUCGGCUCAUCGCAUCCUGGGGGUGGAGAAGCUCCCAAGGGUUUGGCUGUUCGCCAAUGAAAGCGGUACGUGAGCUGGGUUUAGACCGUCGUGAGACAGGUCGGUCCCUAUCUGCUGCGGGCGCAGGAGACUUGAGAAGAUUUCUCCCUAGUACGAGAGGAUUGGGAGGGACGUACCUCUGGUGUGCCAGUUGUCGCGCUAGCGGCACCGCUGGGUAGCUACGUACGGAAAGGAUAAACGCUGAAGGCAUAUAAGCGUGAAGCCCCCUUCAAGAUUAGGUCUCCUUUUCCAUCGGAAUGAAGGCUCCUGGAAGACCACCAGGUCGAUAGGCCGGGUGUGUAAGCACAGUAAUGUGUUUAGCUAACCGGUACUAAUAGCCGA